AUCCUUAUCAAAGUCGAAUCGAAUGUCAGCCAUUGGAGCUGGGUUCUGAUGAAGUUCUGACCGUCAGAUCACGUAAUUUAAAUCCUUAACACAGUCGGGAGCGUUCUCAGCUGUCCGAUCACUUGAUGGAUUGCUUCUGGGCCGUCAGAUCGUGCAAAAACCCCUCUCUCGCUAUGAGCCACACCUGUGGAUCACGUGAAGUUUUCUGUGGACCGCACCC
rnacentral:lncRNA from 1 species